AUGGCGUCGGCCGCGCCGCAGCAGCUCGGCGGGCUCGGCGGCUCCGUCAACGGCUCCGCGGCCGCCACGCCGCUGCACGGCCCCGCGGCGCCCGCCGGCGCCAACGGCGCCGACGGGUACGACAGCGACGGCAGCUACAACUUCGCGCCGCCUACUCCAUCGACAUUGUCCAUGUCCAUACCCCCGGAGCUUGCUGGAGCAAUCCCGCUAAUCGACAGGUUCCAGGUGGAGGGAUUUCUCAAGGCAAUGCAAAAACAGAUUCAAUCAUCUGGAAAGCGUGGCUUUUUUAUUAAAAAAUCAGUGGGUCCGCAAGUUCGUGAGAAGUUCACUUUGGAAGAUAUGUUGUGUUUCCAAAAGGAUCCUAUUCCAACUUCAUUACUGAAAGUACCUAACGACCUUGUAAGCCGCUCAAUUAAAUUGUUCCAUGUCAUAUUAAAGUACAUGGGCGUCGAUUCACCCGCAAUAAUAAGUUUGGAAGAAAGAAUUGAACUUGUUGCAAAGCUUUAUAAGCAUACUUUGAAGCGGUCUGAACUUCGAGAUGAGCUCUUUGCGCAGAUUUCAAAACAAACACGUAACAAUCCUGAUCGGAGUUGGUUGAUAAGAGCUUGGGAGCUAAUGUAUUUAUGUGCAUCUUCCAUGCCACCAAGCAAAGAUAUCGGGGCAUACUUGUCUGAGUAUGUUCACUAUAUUGCUCAUGGAGCCACAACGGAUUCAGAUGUUCGAGUUCUAGCACUGAACACACUAAAUGCAUUAAAACGCUCGGUUAAGGCAGGCCCACGGGUUGCAAUUCCCGCGCGGGAGGAGAUAGAGGCUCUUUUAACCAGCCGGAAGCUUACAACAAUUGUCUUUUUCUUGGAUGAAACAUUUGAAGAGAUCACCUACGACAUGGCAACAACUGUUGCCGAUGCUGUUGAGGAACUUGCUGGCAUUAUCAAACUUUCAGUAUAUUCCAGUUUCAGUCUUUUUGAAUGCCGAAAGAUUGUUAAUGGAUCAAAGUCUUCAGAAGUUGGCAACGAGGAAUACAUUGGGCUAGACGAUAACAAGUACAUCGGGGACUUGCUAUCUGAAUUCAAGUCAGCCAAGGAUCGCAACAAAGGAGAAAUUUUGCACUGCAAACUUGUAUUUAAGAAACGCCUCUUUCGUGAGUCUGAUGAGGCUGUGACUGAUCCGAUGUUCGUUCAGCUAUCAUAUGUCCAGUUACAACAUGAUUAUAUUCUAGGCAACUACCCAGUAGGCAGGGAUGAUGCUGCACAACUCACUGCCCUGCAAAUAUUGGUUGAGAUUGGAUUCAUUGACAAUCCUGAGUCCUGCGUUGAAUGGAUAUCUCUUCUAGAGAGAUUUCUACCUAGGCAAGUUGCAAUUACUAGAGCAAAGCGAGACUGGGAGCUCGACAUCAUCUCACGCUAUCAGUUAAUGGAACACUUGUCAAAAGAUGAUGCAAGGAAUCAGUUUCUCAGAAUCUUAAGAACUCUUCCGUACGGCAAUUCAGUUUUCUUCAGCGUUCGGAAAAUUGAUGACCCAAUAGGACUUCUACCUGGAAGAAUCAUUUUGGGAAUCAACAAACGAGGGGUCCACUUUUUUCGUCCGGUUCCUAAGGAAUACCUACAUUCUGCAGAGCUGAGAGACAUAAUGCAGUUUGGGAGCAGCAAUACUGCUGUUUUCUUUAAGAUGCGAGUUGCUGGCGUCCUUCAUAUCUUUCAGUUUGAAACCAAGCAGGGUGAAGAAAUAUGUGUAGCACUUCAAACACAUAUAAAUGAUGUGAUGCUCCGCAGAUAUUCAAAAGCACGGUGUGGCUCUGCUACUAGCACGGUUUCUCAGAAUGAUGUUUCUCAAGCAGAUAAGCCACCAAAUGCUGAAAUGUAUGACAAACGUGUCCAAGAACUGUCAAAAGUAGUUGAUGAGUCUCAGAAGAAAGCAGACCAGUUACGGGAUGAGUUACAGAGGAAGACACAACAAGAAAGAGAGAUGCAAGAAGAAUUGGAAGGGCUAAAAGAUACCUUACAAUCUGAACGACAUAUCAUUAAAGAAGUAACAAGUGAGCGGGAUAGGCUGAAAUCCCUAUGUGAUGAAAAGGAAUCUUCUUUGCAGGUUGCAUUGGUGGAGAAAAAUAGACUGGAGACCAAAUUAACAAAUGGUCAGGGCCAAGAGAACAAUACCAAAAUGGACUUAUCUGGAAAUCAUUGUGAAAGAGAUACUUUGACGACCGUAGGCAGCGUCAACAGUGGCAUUGAGAUGUUGACUAAGCUCGAGGAGGAGUUGAAAUCAUGCCGAAAAGAGCUUGCUGCAUCAAAAGAAGUAUCAAAGAAGUUAAUUAUGGAAAGGAAUAUGCUCGAACAGAGGAUUCAAAGGCUUGAGAGAGCAAAAAGUGAAGAGAAAAGUACAAUGCAAAGAGUUUAUGAGGAUGAAUGUCGUAAGUUAAAAGCUCAUACAGCUACACUGGAGCAAAAAUUGGAAAGUGCAACACAGUCAUUAAAUGUUGCUGAAUCAACUCUCGCCUUGAGAAAUACCGAGGUGGAUUCAUUGCAAAAUACUCUCAAGGAGCUUGAUGAGUUAAGAGAGUUUAAAGCGGAUGUGGACAGAAAGAACCAACAGACCGCUGAGAUUCUUAAAAGGCAAGGGACACAGUUGGUUGAGCUUGAAAGUCUUUAUAAGCAAGAACAGGUUUUGCGAAAACGUUACUAUAACACAAUUGAAGAUAUGAAAGGAAAAAUAAGAGUUUUUUGUCGCUUGCGUCCUCUAAACGACAAGGAGGUUUCUUUAAAGGAUAAGAAUAUUGUCUGCAGUCCUGAUGAAUUUACAAUUGCACAUCCGUGGAAAGAUGACAAGUCAAAGCAACAUAUAUAUGAUCGUGUUUUUGAUGCACAUACUACUCAAGAAGAUGUUUUCGAGGACACUAAGUAUCUAGUACAAUCAGCUGUUGAUGGAUAUAAUGUUUGUAUAUUUGCUUAUGGUCAAACUGGUUCCGGGAAGACUUUUACAAUAUAUGGUUCAGACAACAAUCCUGGUCUUACUCCAAGGGCUACGUCAGAACUUUUUAGGGUGAUAAAGCGUGAUGGCAACAAGUAUUCAUUUUCCUUGAAGGCAUAUAUGGUGGAACUUUAUCAAGAUAAUCUUGUGGACCUGUUGUUGCCCAAAAAUGCUAUGCGACAAAAAUUAGAAAUAAAAAAGGAUUCCAAGGGAGUUGUUACUGUUGAAAAUGUCACAGUUGUAAACAUUUCAAGUUUUGAAGAAUUGAAAACUAUAAUCACAAGAGGUUCUGAGAGAAGACACACAGCUGGAACAAAUAUGAAUGAUGAGAGCUCAAGAUCUCAUUUAAUCCUUUCAAUAAUUAUUGAAAGCACCAAUCUCCAAACUCAAUCUUAUGCAAGAGGAAAGCUAAGUUUUGUGGAUCUUGCUGGUUCUGAGAGGGUGAAAAAGUCCGGUUCAGCAGGAAAACAAUUAAAAGAAGCACAGAGCAUCAAUAAAUCCCUUUCUGCAUUGGCUGAUGUUAUUGGUGCUUUAUCUUCUGAUGGACAACAUAUACCUUACCGGAACCAUAAGUUGACAAUGCUUAUGAGUGAUUCACUUGGAGGCAAUGCAAAAACCCUGAUGUUUGUGAAUGUUUCACCAGCGGAAUCAAACUUGGAGGAGACUCACAACUCACUCAUGUAUGCUUCACGAGUACGUUGCAUUGUUAAUGACACGAGCAAGCACGUUUCCCCCAAAGAAAUCAUGCGGUUGAAGAAGUUGAUUUCUUAUUGGAAGGAGCAAGCAGGCAAGCGGAGCGAGGGCGAUGAACUGGAGGAAAUACAGGAAGAGAGGAUAUCAAAAGAGAAAGCCGACACCCGGUUGACCGCAUGA
rnacentral:rRNA from 1 species